rnacentral:tRNA from 5 species
GGUUGUAGCUCAGUUGGUUAGAGUGCCGGCCUGUCACGCCGGAGGUCGCGGGUUCGAGCCCCGUCAACC